UCCCGUGUGGCUCAGUUGGUAGAGCACGGUGCUUGCAACGCCAAGUUUGUGGGUUUGAUUCCCACGAGGGGAA
rfam:Salmo salar isolate Sally breed double haploid chromosome ssa04, whole genome shotgun sequence.